rnacentral:rRNA from 1 species
GGGUUCCUACGGGAGGCAGCAGUGAGGGAUAUUGGGCAAUGGGGGAAACCCUGACCCAGCGACGCCGCGUGAGCGAAGAAGUAUUUCGGUAUGUAAAGCUCUAUCAGCAGGGAAGAAAAUGACGGUACCUGACUAAGAAGCUCCGGCUAAAUACGUGCCAGCAGCCGCGGUAAUACGUAUGGAGCAAGCGUUAUCCGGAUUUACUGGGUGUAAAGGGAGCGCAGGCGGUCCGGCAAGUCUGAUGUGAAAGGCGGGGGCUCAACCCCCGGACUGCAUUGGAAACUGUCGGGCUGGAGUGUCGGAGG